UCGUUCGUGCCCUGCUUGAGAGCUCUAAGAGCUCUAUUGAUUCCAAUCUUCGUUUGGCAAUUGUGUUGCAGGAGUACCUUAGCAGCUGUUACAGUAUGGGAUAGGCUAAAUAAUUGCAGAAGAAUUGGUCAAAACUGAUAUGCAACAUAUGCUUGAAGACCUAGUCUUUAGCAAGAUAGUUGGUGCUGCUAUUUUUUUGUUUUGUUUGUUGCUUGAUAUUAGGAAAGU
rnacentral:lncRNA from 1 species